AACGAACGCUGGCGGCAGGCUUAACACAUGCAAGUCGAGCGCACCAUUUAUGGUGAGCGGCAGACGGGUGAGUAAUGUAUGGGAAUCUACCUAUUACUACGGAAUAACACAGAGAAAUUUGUGCUAAUACCGUAUAGUUCCGAGAGGAUAAAGAUUUAUCGGUAAUAGAUGAGCCCAUAUUAGAUUAGCUAGUUGGUAAGGUAAAGGCUUACCAAGGCGACGAUCUAUAGCUGGUCUGAGAGGAUGAUCAGCCACACUGGGACUGAGACACGGCCCAGACUCCUACGGGAGGCAGCAGUGGGGAAUAUUGGACAAUGGGCGCAAGCCUGAUCCAGCCAUGCCGCGUGAGUGAUGAAGGCCUUAGGGUUGUAAAGCUCUUUCGCCGGUGAAGAUAAUGACGGUAACCGGAAAAGAAGCCCCGGCUAACUUCGUGC
rnacentral:rRNA from 1 species